UGCGCAGGCGGAAUGAUUAGUCAGUGGUGAAAGCCCUCGGCUCAACCGAGGAACUGCCAUUGAUACUGUCAUUCUUGAGUACAGUUGUAGUGGGCGGAAUGUGUCAUGUAGCGGUGAAAUGCAUAGAGAUGACACAGAACACCGAUCGCGAAGGCAGCUCACUAAGCUGAAACUGACGCUCAGGCACGAAAGCGUGGGUAGCAAACAGGAUUAGAUACCCUGGUAGUCC
rnacentral:rRNA from 1 species